rnacentral:rRNA from 1 species
UACGGGGGGGCAAGGCGUUGUUCGGAAUUACUGGGCGUUAAAGGGCUCGUAGGCGGCCAACUAAGUCAGACGUGAAAUCCCAGGCUCAACCUGGAACCUGCGUCUGAUACUGGAUGGCUUGAAUCCGGGAGAGGGAUGCAGAAUUCCAAGGUGUAGCGGUGAAAUGCGUAGAUAUCAGGAGGAACACCGGUGGCGAAGGCGGGUCUCUGGGCCGAAAUUGACGCUGAGGAGCGAAAGCGUGGGGAGCGAACAGG